rnacentral:rRNA from 1 species
UACAGAGGUCCCAAGCGUUGUUCGGAUUUACUGGGCGUAAAGGGUGCGUAGGCGGCGGGGAAAGUUUAAGGUGAAAUCUCCAGGCUCAACUUGGAAAAUGCCUCGAAUACUUCCCUGCUUGAGGGUCGCAGAGGAGAUUGGAAUUCUCGGUGUAGCAGUGAAAUGCGUAGAUAUCGAGAGGAACAUCAGUGGCGAAAGCGAAUCUCUGGGCGACUCCUGACGCUGAGGCACGAAAGCCAGGGGAGCAAACGGG